UUGAAACAUGCAAGUCGAGCGCCCUUUCGGGGGAGCGGCAGACGGGUGAGUAACGCGUGGGAAUGUACCCUAUGGUUCGGAAUAACUCAGGGAAACUUGUGCUAAUACCGGAUAAGCCCUUCGGGGGAAAGAUUUAUUGCCAUAGGAGCAGCCCGCGUCUGAUUAGCUAGUUGGUGAGGUAAUGGCUCACCAAGGCGACGAUCAGUAGCUGGUCUUAGAGGAUGAUCAGCCACACUGGGACUGAGACACGGCCCAGACUCCUACGGGAGGCAGCAGUGGGGAAUCUUGGACAAUGGGCGAAAGCCUGAUCCAGCCAUGCCGCGUGAAUGAUGAAGGUCUUAGGAUUGUAAAAUUCUUUCACCGGGGAAGAUAAUGACGGUACCCGGAGAAGAAGCCCCGGCUAACUUCGUGCCAGCAGCCGCGGUAAUACGAAGGGGGCUAGCGUUGCUCGGAUUUACUGGGCGUAAAGGGCGCGUAGGCGGAUUGGUAAGUUGGAGGUGAAAGCCCAGGGCUCAACCCUGGAAUUGCCUUCAAAACUGCUAGUCUUGAGUUUGGGAGAGGUAAGUGGAAUUCCGAGUGUAGAGGUGAAAUUCGUAGAUAUUCGGAAGAACACCAGUGGCGAAGGCGACUUACUGGACCAAUACUGACGCUGAGGCGCGAAAGCGUGGGGAGCAACCAGGAUUAGAUACCCUGGUA
rnacentral:rRNA from 1 species